rnacentral:misc_RNA from 1 species
GGCUGAUAUGUUGAGACAACAAACGCUUCAUCAGUUACAUCGAAUAUUGACAAUCCGACAGGCAGCUCGAUGUUUCGUGGUAAUUGGAGAGUAUUAUGGAAGACUUCGAGCUCUUAGUUCCUUGUGGGUCUCUCGACCGAGAGAGAGCAGCUGCUUGAAUGAUGAAAAUUCAUGCCAAACAACAACAGAGCUACAAAUGAUUCAGAGUUCCCACACCCAUUUCCCAAACUUUUGAUCUGUUUCUUCAAAACCAAAUCCAUUUUGGGUUAUAUCUAUAUAUCAUCAUUUAGAAGAAAUAUAUAACUUUUAUUUUCUCUCUCCCUCUUGAUCCCUACCUUUUUACCAUAUUACCCUCUCAAUGUAAAUCAAUCCAAUGGGGA